rnacentral:rRNA from 1 species
GAGUGCUAGAGAAUGAUUAAACAAUUAAAAGCUUUCUUUAAUUAAAUAAUUGAAUUUAAUUUUUUUAGUGCAAAAGCAAAAAUAAAAAUUAGGGACAAGAAGACCCUAUGAAUUUUUUAUUAAAUUUUAUAUAAAGUUUUAUAAAAUUUAAUUUAAUUGGGGUGAUGGAAAAAGAAUAAAUAUCUUUUUUUUUAAANAAAAUUGGUUCCGUUUUUAGCGAUUAAAUGAAAAAAAUACUCUAGGGAUAACAGCGUAAUAAUUUUGGAUAGUUCAUAUAGAUAAAAUAGUUUGCGACCUCGAUGUUGGAUUAGGAUUCUUUUUUGGUGAANAAGUUAAAAAAANAAGUUUGUUCAACUUAUAAUUUCCUACUUGAUCUGAGUUCA